rnacentral:rRNA from 1 species
GACGAACGCUGGCGGCGUGCUUAACACAUGCAAGUCGAGCGGUAAGGCCCUUUCGGGGGUACACGAGCGGCGAACGGGUGAGUAACACGUGGGUGACCUGCCCUUACGCUCUGGGAUAAGCCUGGGAAACUGGGUCUAAUACCGGAUAUGACUCCAUAACGCAUGUUGUGGGGUGGAAAGCCUUGUGCGGCUAGGGAUGGCCCGCGCCUAUCAGCUUGUUGGUGGGGUGAUGGCCACCAAGGCGACGACGGGUAGCCGGCCGUGAGAGGGCGACCGGCC